GCCCAAUGUAUGGAUCUGGAAUCGCCGAUUAAUCCAAAAUCACUACAAGGGCUGGAAUCAUGUCAACCAGGGUGCACCGUUUUUUUUGUAGCCCCCACUUCACCGACCUGUAAUUUGUCCAAUUUAUCAUUUUGUUUUUUUUCAAUUUUUUUUUAUAUUCUUGAAACGUUAAUAAACAUCAUAUAAAAUAACC